UACGGAGGGUGCAAGCGUUAUCCGGAUUCACUGGGUUUAAAGGGUGCGUAGGUGGGCUAGUAAGUCCGUGGUGAAAUCCCUGAGCUUAACUUGGGAACUGCCAUUGAUACUAUUAGUCUUGAAUAUCGUGGAGGUAAGCGGAAUAUGUCAUGUAGCGGUGAAAUGCGUAGAUAUCUGGAGGAAUACCGGUGGCGAAGGCGGCGUGCUGGACCUCAUCUGACGCUGAGGCGCGAAAGCCAGGGGAGCGAACGGG
rnacentral:rRNA from 1 species